rnacentral:rRNA from 1 species
GACGAACGCUGGCGGCGUGCCUAAUACAUGCAAGUUGAGCGCUGAAGGUUGGUACUUGUACCAACUGGAUGAGCAGCGAACGGGUGAGUAACGCGUGGGGAAUCUGCCUUUGAGCGGGGGACAACAUUUGGAAACGAAUGCUAAUACCGCAUAAAAACUUUAAACACAAGUUUUAAGUUUGAAAGAUGCAAUUGCAUCACUCAAAGAUGAUCCCGCGCUGUAUUAGCUAGUUGGUGAGGUAAAGGCUCACCAAGGCGAUGAUACAUAGCCGACCUGAGAGGGUGAUCGGCCACAUUGGGACUGAGACACGGCCCAAACUCCUACGGGAGGCAGCAGUAGGGAAUCUUCGGCAAUGGACGAAAGUCUGACCGAGCAACGCCGCGUGAGUGAAGAAGGUUUUCGGAUCGUAAAACUCUGUUGGUAGAGAAGAACGUUGGUGAGAGUGGAAAGCUCAUCAAGUGACGGUAACUACCCAGAAAGGGACGGCUAACUACGU